AUACCUUUCUCGGCCUUUUGGCUAAGAUCAAGUGUAGUAUCUGUUCUUAUCAGUUUAAUAUCUGAUAUGUGGGCCAAUGGCCCACGCGAUAUUAAAUUUAUUUUUUAAGGGAGAUGAACCAUUACAGUAGCUGGCUACUGGGUUUGUCGAGCGUCGCCUAAGCCUUACACUAUCACAUGGGCCUGGCGCGCCCCAC